rnacentral:rRNA from 1 species
AGUGAACGCUGGCGGUAGGCCUAACACAUGCAAGUCGAACGGCAGCACAGUAAGAGCUUGCUCUUACGGGUGGCGAGUGGCGGACGGGUGAGGAAUACAUCGGAAUCUACUUUUUCGUGGGGGAUAACGUAGGGAAACUUACGCUAAUACCGCAUACGACCUACGGGUGAAAGCAGGGGAUCUUCGGACCUUGCGCGAUUGAAUGAGCCGAGGUCGGAUUAGCUAGUUGGCGGGGUAAAGGACCACCAAGGACGAUCCGUAGCUGGUCUGAGAGGAUGAUCAGCCACACUGGAACUGAGACACGGUCCAGACUCCUACGGGAGGCAGCAGUGGGGAAUAUUGGACAAUGGGCGCAAGCCUGAUCCAGCCAUACCGCGUGGGUGAAGAAGGCCUUCGGGUUGUAAAGCCCUUUUGUUGGGAAAGAAAAGCAGCAGGUUAAUACCCCGCUGUUCUGACGGUACCCAAAGAAUAAGCACCGGCUAACUUCGUG